rnacentral:lncRNA from 1 species
UGUGUGUGUCUGUGUUUGAAGGGUCAUAUGUGUGAAGAAUCCUUUCCAGCUUUUGAAAAAGAUACUUCAGGCAGGGCUAACAUCCCUGUAGCCAACAGCUCCCACUAAAGCUAAAAUUUCUCCCCCCUGGCCUGAGCCAAGUGCUGUUCUUAAUUUCACAGCUUCAGAAAACCUGCCCAACUUCAACUUAUUUUGGCCCUGAGCCCAUUAUUUUGUUUGCUUUUAAUUAUCUUUCAGGACCACCACACCGGGUGAUGUACUUCUUUUUUCUGCCCCGAUCUCACAUCUUUGUACCACGAAUACACCACUGAGUGACACUCUAUUUCUGCGUACGCCAACUUUGGUUUUGGUAAAUGAGAAAAUGCUUGCUUCUUGUUAUCUGUGGUGUGAAAUUCCUUUGGGGAGCCCCACCAAUAAAAUAAAUAAGACCAUCAGGAGUCCUUAGACUCACUAAAAUUCCAGACUCUCUAAAAACAAUAUUUUCUGUCUAAUCUUAACGUUAACAAAACGAUCAGUUGGGAGCCAAAGCAUGGCUGUGGGAUGAGCUAUUUUGGACACUAACUGCAUGACAUUUAGAAUAACCAAGUCACCGUGGACAUUAAGGUGUCAACGAGAAGUGUCUGUUUCUCUGACGUGCACUUAUAAAUGCCUCAUAAUGGUGUAUGUGUGUGAUGUGUAAGCAUGCACCCCAGACAGCAGAGAAAGUCGACAGUAACAUGUCAUUACCAUGAGCAUUCAAGCUGAAAAGCUGUAGUCAGUUUAACUUGUUAUCAUUCUUGGCCUUGAACUAAGCUUUGUGGCCACUCUGUGAGAAACCAUCAUAGACACAAAAUCGGCAUGUGAUAAAUGAUUCCAACAGAGGUGUGACUGGCCAGCAAACAACAUUUUCAUAAAGGGCCUUUGCUCUUUGUUAGGGGCAAAAAAAUAUGUUUCCUUGGAAGGAUAAUUGCCUCUUCUUUAAAGGCCAGAGGAUGGAGACAGGGGAGCUGAUUGAAAUUUAUGCCAGUGGAAUGCAGGAGAGUUGCAUUUAUAAGGUGUUA